rnacentral:lncRNA from 1 species
AGUUUCCUCGGUUGCCAAAUAAUACCCAUAAAGUAUGUUUAUUCAACAACAACAACAAAACUUACUUACACAGCGGAAAGUUCAAAAAUUGGCUGCUUCAAGCUCUCACAAUUGUGGCAGCAAUUAGCAUGAGCUGAAUGAGGUAAUACCAGAGUUCUUCAACUUUAGCUGGCGCGUGCAGGUUAAGCCCAAUAGUUUGGUUGUGGGCUUCAGAAGUUUGAUUGUGGGCUUUUGAAUAUUCUUCAGCCUUCAGGAGGUGCAAAGGUACAUAAAUUUACUUUGGUUCUUUCAAAAAGCUUCAGGAAUGAAAUUAAAUGUGAAGAAGUGCGAAAUGUUUACCAUUGGAGUUGGAUGAAGAAAUUAGUGAUACGAUGGCAAGUAAAUUCGGUCGCGAAAGGGACAAAUUACACGGGAUUUAUUUGACGGUAUAACCUCUCAGUACUAAUGGACGCCACCUACUGGUUUCAUGGUAUUGCAUAACUGUUCUCUGAAUUUGGUGCGAGUUGUAGUGAGAAAUUAUGUCUAGCAAUCUUUGCAGAAAUAUGUGUUCUUGUAUUUGUGUUUAUUUUCUUAUCCCAAGUAUGGAGGAGUUUGUAAUGGGUUUUUAAGAAAGUUUUGGUUGUGAUAUACUUAAUACUAGUUCCGGA